UUGUUCAUCCAUCAAAAUUUGGCAAAAUGUGGACUAAAAUGGAGAUAAAAUAAAGGUUUUCACAUCCAAUACAAAAGAAAAGACUUCCAUUCUAAAUGCAAAUAUGAGAAGACUCCUUCCAUUUGGAUCUUGCCAGCAUAGCAUGUCGGGGUCGAAGCUGUCCAAGAAAUCACAGAGCUUAGUUCAAGUUUGUACUUUGGUUCGUUUGUCCAAGCUCAUUUAUUUCUUAUUGAGUUUAAGUCCUAAGUUUGGAUGGUUGGAGAGCUUUCUUCGGGCCGUUGUCCUCAAAAGCGUGGUCAAGUCUCUUCUGGGAAGUUAAUCAUUGGUUGUCUUGGGCUAUAGUGGUUUAAGUUCCUUUAGAUUGAUUUAGUUUUCAAUUUUGAUCUGAACUGUUCUUUUCUGUUUAGUUUGUCAUUUGGUCUUUGUUCGUUUCUUCUAGUUUUGGUGUGGCCGCUUUUGGAAUUUUUCUUUUUGUCCUUUGAUGUCUCCUUGAAUUUUGAACUUAUCUUCUUUUCAUUUUAUUGAUGAAAAACUUGUUUCCGUGUCAAAAUAAAAUGGAGCAAGGCUUAUGAGUUAA